rnacentral:rRNA from 1 species
GUCUAUGCCAUGCCACCCUGAACGUGCUCUAUCUCAUCUGAUCUCAAGCUAAACAGGGUUAGGCCUGGUUAGUACUUGGAUGGGAGACCACCUAGGAAUACCAGGUGCUCUAGGCG